AGACUUAGAGUCUCCUGAAGGAACGUUGAAGACGACGACGUUGAUAGGCCGGGUGUGUAAGCGCAGCGAUGCGUUGAGCUAACCGGUACUAAUGAACCGUGAGGCUUAACCUUACAACGCCGAAG
rnacentral:rRNA from 2 species